UAGCCUGCCCACUGAUUUGUUUUAAAGGGCCGCGGUAUAUUGACCGUGCGAAGGUAGCAUAAUCAUUAGUCUUUUAAUUGGAGGCUCGUAUGAAUGGUUGGACAAAAAGUAAGCUGUCUCGGUUAUAAUAAUUGAACUUAACUUUUAAGUGAAAAGGCUUAAAUGUUUCAGGGGGACGAUAAGACCCUAUAAAGCUUGACAAUAAUUUCGUUAUAUUAUAAAUUGUUAGUAUAACUUGAUUUUAACGGGAGUUUGUUUCGUUGGGGCGACGGGAAUAUAAUAAAUAACUGUUCUUUUAAAUAUAAUUACAAAAAUACUUGGUAAAUAAUUGAUCCUCUAUUAGAGAUUAAAAGAUUAAGUUACUUUAGGGAUAACAGCGUAAUCUUCUUUGAGAGUCCACAUCGACAAGAAGGUUUGCGACCUCGAUGUUGAAUUAAGGUAUCCUUAUAAUGCAGCAGUUAUAAAGGA
rnacentral:rRNA from 1 species